CGUGAAGAGGGAAACAACCCAGACCGCCAGCUAAGGUCCCAAAGUCAUGGUUAAGUGGGAAACGAUGUGGGAAGGCCCAGACAGCCAGGAUGUUGGCUUAGAAGCAGCCAUCAUUUAAAGAAAGCGUAAUAGCUCACUGGUCGAGUCGGCCUGCGCGGAAGAUGUAACGGGGCUAAACCAUGCACCGAAGCUGCGGCAGCGACACUAUGUGUUGUUGGGUAGGGGAGCGUUCUGUAAGCCGUUGAAGGUGGCCUGUGAGGGUUGCUGGAGGUAUCAGAAGUGCGAAUGCUGACAUAAGUAACGAUAAUGCGGGUGAAAAACCCGCACGCCGGAAGACCAAGGGUUCCUGUCCAACGUUAAUCGGGGCAGGGUGAGUCGACCCCUAAGGCGAGGCCGAAAGGCGUAGUCGAUGGGAAACAGGUUAAUAUUCCUGUACUCGGUGUUACUGCGAAGGGGGGACGGAGAAGGCUAUGUUGGCCGGGCGACGGUUGUCCCGGUUUAAGCAUGUAGGCGGAUGUUCCAGGUAAAUCCGGAACGUUAUUAACGCUGAGGUGUGAUGACGAGGCACUACGGUGCUGAAGUGACAAAUGCCCUGCUUCCAGGAAAAGCCUCUAAGCAUCAGGUAACAUCAAAUCGUACCCCAAACCGACACAGGUGGUCAGGUAGAGAAUACCAAGGCGCUUGAGAGAACUCGGGUGAAGGAACUAGGCAAAAUGGUGCCGUAACUUCGGGAGAAGGCACGCUGAUGGUAGGUGAAGUGACUUGCUCAUGGAGCUGAAAUCAGUCGAAGAUACCAGCUGGCUGCAACUGUUUAUUAAAAACACAGCACUGUGCAAACACGAAAGUGGACGUAUACGGUGUGACGCCUGCCCGGUGCCGGAAGGUUAAUUGAUGGGGUUAUCCGUAAGGAGAAGCUCUUGAUCGAAGCCCCGGUAAACGGCGGCCGUAACUAUAACGGUCCUAAGGUAGCGAAAUUCCUUGUCGGGUAAGUUCCGACCUGCACGAAUGGCGUAAUGAUGGCCAGGCUGUCUCCACCCGAGACUCAGUGAAAUUGAACUCGCUGUGAAGAUGCAGUGUACCCGCGGCAAGACGGAAAGACCCCGUGAACCUUUACUAUAGCUUGACACUGAACACUGGUCCUUGAUGUGUAGGAUAGGUGGGAGGCUUUGAAGUGUGGACGCCAGUCUGCAUGGAGCCAUCCUUGAAAUACCACCCUUUAAUGGCUGGUGUUCUAACGUGGGCCCCUAAUCGGGGUUGCGGACAGUGUCUGGUGGGUAGUUUGACUGGGGCGGUCUCCUCCUAAAGAGUAACGGAGGAGCACGAAGGUCAGCUAAUCCUGGUCGGACAUCAGGAGGUUAGUGCAAUGGCAUAAGCUGGCUUGACUGCGAGCGUGACGGCGCGAGCAGGUGCGAAAGCAGGUCAUAGUGAUCCGGUGGUUCUGAAUGGAAGGGCCAUCGCUCAACGGAUAAAAGGUACUCCGGGGAUAACAGGCUGAUACCGCCCAAGAGUUCAUAUCGACGGCGGUGUUUGGCACCUCGAUGUCGGCUCAUCACAUCCUGGGGCUGAAGUAGGUCCCAAGGGUAUGGCUGUUCGCCAUUUAAAGUGGUACGCGAGCUGGGUUUAGAACGUCGUGAGACAGUUCGGUCCCUAUCUGCCGUGGGCGCUGGAGAAUUGAGGGGGGCUGCUCCUAGUACGAGAGGACCGGAGUGGACGCAUCACUGGUGUUCGGGUUGUCAUGCCAAUGGCAUUGCCCGGUAGCUAAAUGCGGAAGAGAUAAGUGCUGAAAGCAUCUAAGCACGAAACUUGCCCCGAGAUGAGUUCUCCCUGACCCUUUAAGGGUCCUGAAGGAACGUUGAAGACGACGACGUUGAUAGGCCGGGUGUGUAAGCGCAGCGAUGCGUUGAGCUAACCGGUACUAAUGAACCGUGAGGCUUAACCUU
rnacentral:rRNA from 1 species